AUUGAACGCUGGCGGCAGGCCUAACACAUGCAAGUCGAGCGAGCGGCGGACGGGUGAGUAAUGUCUGGGAAACUGCCUGAUGGAGGGGGAUAACUACUGGAAACGGUAGCUAAUACCGCAUACCAUCAGCUGGGCCCAGAUGGGAUUAGCUGGUAGGUGGGGUAACGGCGCACCUAGGCGACGAUCGCUAGCUGGUCUGAGCGGAUGACCAGCCACACUGGAACUGAGACACGGUCCGGACUCCUACGGUGGGCAGCAGUGGGGAAUAUUGCACAAUGGGCGCAAUCCUGAUGCAGCCAUGCCGCGUGUAUGAAGAAGGCCUUCGGGUUGUAAAGUACUUUCAGCGGGGAGGCGUUACCCGCAGAAGAAGCACCGGCUAACUCCGUGCCAGCAGCCGCGGUAAUAC
rnacentral:rRNA from 1 species